rnacentral:pre_miRNA from 1 species
AACAACAUCCUGGUGCUGCCUGAGUAGUUGUCACAAACUCCAGCAUCAGUGAUUUUGUUGC